UACGGAGGGGGCUAGCGUUGUUCGGAAUUACUGGGCGUAAAGCGCGCGUAGGCGGACCUGCAAGUCGGGGGGUGAAAGCCCGAGGCUCAACCUCGGAACUGCCUUCGAUACUGCGGGUCUCGAGUCCGGGAGAGGUGAGUGGAAUUCCUAGUGUAGAGGUGAAAUUCGUAGAUAUUAGGAAGAACACCAGUGGCGAAGGCGGCUCACUGGCCCGAUACUGACGCUGAGGCGCGAAAGCGUGGGGGAGCAAACAGG
rnacentral:rRNA from 1 species